CUCCUGAUGACAUCAUCAAGCUGAGUCCGUCUGCUCUCUUUCCUGUUGAUGAAAGGACUUUCCUUUUGUCUUUUGUUUCAACAACAAAUGGGUCAAGGGCAUCUCCAAACAGCUUCUCACUGGUACAUGGGGCAGUAGCUAAUUUCCACUUCCGUCGAGGCUCCGCUUGCCAAUUUCGUAGCCAUAGCAGUCUCCUAGCUGCCACUGAUGACGCCAUGGCCCUGGAAGAGAACUUGGUGGCGUUGAGGGUGGCAUCCACCGAG